ACGAACGCUGGCGGCGUGCCUAACACAUGCAAGUCGAACGAGAAAGGGGAGCAAUUCCCUGAGUACAGUGGCGCACGGGUGAGUAACACGCGACUAACCUACCCUGGAGUGGGGAAUAACUGAGGGAAACCUUAGCUAAUACCGCAUAACACCUACGGGUCAAAGGAGCAAUUCGCUUCAGGAGGGGGUCGCGGCCGAUUAGCUAGUUGGCGGGGUAAUGGCCCACCAAGGCAAUGAUCGGUAUCCGGCCUGAGAGGGCGCACGGACACACUGGAACUGAAACACGGUCCAGACUCCUACGGGAGGCAGCAGUGGGGAAUUUUGCGCAAUGGGGGAAACCCUGACGCAGCAACGCCGCGUGGAGGAUGAAGUAUCUUGGUACGUAAACUCCUUUCGAUGGGGAAGAUAAUGACGGUACCCAUAGAAGAAGCCCCGGCUAACUUCGUGCCAGCAGCCGCGGUAAUACGAGGGGGGCAAGCGUUGUUCGGAUUUAUUGGGCGUAAAGGGUGCGUAGGCGGUUUGGCAAGUCUUGUGUGAAAUCUUCGGGCUCAACCCGAAGCCUGCACGAGAAACUACCGGGCUUGAGUAUUGGAGAGGUGAGUGGAAUUUCCGGUGUAGCGGUGAAAUGCGUAGAUAUCGGAAGGAACACCUGUGGCGAAAGCGGCUCACUGGACAAUAACUGACGCUGAUGCACGAAAGCUAGGGGAGCAAACAGGAUUAGAUACCCUGGUAGUCCUAGCCCUAAACGAUGAUUGUUUGAUGUGGCAGGUACCCAAUCCUGCCGUGUCGAAGCUAACGCGAUAAACAAUCCGCCUGGGGAGUACGGUCGCAAGGCUGAAACUCAAAUGAAUUGACGG
rnacentral:rRNA from 1 species